rnacentral:rRNA from 1 species
GACGAACGCUGGCGGCGUGCUUAACACAUGCAAGUCGAACGGAGAGGCCCUGCUUUUGUGGGGUGCUCGAGUGGCGAACGGGUGAGUAACACGUGAGUAACCUGCCCUUGACUUCGGGAUAACUUCAGGAAACUGGGGCUAAUACCGGAUAGGAGCUCCUGCUGCAUGGUGGGGGGUGGAAAGUUUCGGCGGUGGGGGAUGGACGCGCGGCUUAUCAGCUUGUUGGUGGGGUAGUGGUUUACCAAGGCUUUGACGGGUAGCCGGCCUGAGAGGGUGACCGGCCACAUUGGGACUGAGAUACGGCCCAGACUCCUACGGGAGGCAGCAGUGGGGAAUAUUGCACAAUGGGCGGAAGCCUGAUGCAGCAACGCCGCGUGCGGGAUGACGGCCUUCGGGUUGUAAACCGCUUUCGCCUGUGACGAAGCGUGAGUGACGGUAAUGGGUAAAGAAGCACCGGCUAACUACGUG